UAGGGAAUUUUCGUCCAUGGGGGGAACCCUGAACGAGCAAUGCCGCGUGAGUGAGGAAGGUCUUCGGAUCGUAAAGCUCUGUUGUAAGAGAAAAACGGCACUCAUAGGGAAUGAUGAGUGAGUGAUGGUAUCUUACCAGAAAGUCACGGCUAACUACGUGCCAGCAGCCGCGGUAAUACGUAGGUGGCGAGCGUUAUCCGGAAUGAUUGGGCGUAAAGGGUGCGUAGGUGGCAGAUCAAGUCUGGAGUAAAAGGUAUGGGCUCAACCCGUACUGGCUCUGGAAACUGAUCAGCUAGAGAACAGAAGAGGACGGCGGAACUCCAUGUGUAGCGGUAAAAUGCGUAGAUAUAUGGAAGAACACCGGUGGCGAAGGCGGCCGUCUGGUCUGGAUUCUGACACUGAAGCACGAAAGCGUGGGGAGCAAAUA
rnacentral:rRNA from 1 species